GUUGGCUUGCCCUCAAAAACUUACCCAGUAGCUACUAGCUGAAGUGCAGUUUGCAAAGCUGCAUAGGAACAGAGCCAACAGAACAGAGCAGAGACAAUCAUUGGGACUGAGUGGUUGGAGAGUUUUCCUAGUUCCUCAGAUGGUAAAGCAUCUGCCUGCAAUGCAGGAGACUUGGGUUUAAUCCCUGGGUCGGGAAGAUCCCUUGGAGAAGGGAAUGGCUACCUACUGCAGGAUUCUUGCCUGGAGAAUUCCAAGGAAAGAGGAGACUGGUGGAUUCCACACGACCACAAAGAGUCGGACAGAACUGAGCAACUAACACACACACACAGUUUGAAAGCCCGAGGCGGGACAAAAUCCUUUCUGGCUUUCAAGCCUGCAGUUUCUUCCUGAUGACAUUCCCCUAGGAGCAGGAGGGUGCUUCAGAGGUCAACUUCUGGAAACAGGAAACAGUGAUUAGCAAAUCAAUUCAUUAAGGUCCGGUGAGCCAUUGGAUUACAAAGAGCAGCUAUUUGUUAACUGAAGACAGAUCUCGGCCCCUGAUGAGAGCUCUGGUUCUUGGAGGAGGCAACCAAGACAACAGAGGAAGACAGUUGCAGGCCCUGCCAAUGUGUGAAAUUCCUGCAGCCCGGCUCCGCUGAUGACAGAAAUGACCGUAAUAAACCAGGGAGGCCACAAGUCAAACAAAUAGUUUGGUUGACAAAUAGGCGUAUAAACAAGACCUUGAUUAAUGAAUUUCCUAAUAGUUCUCUGUUUAUUGACUCAGCUUGGUCAUUAGGCCUGACAUUGCCCAUAUACUUUGUAUGGUACACUAUCUUCCAUUCAUUCUAAGACUCCUUUAUCAGUCUUUUUGUUGGGUAUUUUCUGUCUCUCAGUUUUGUCUCCUGGGUUGGACCAUGAGCCUCGAGCUCUGAGAACUCAUCAUGUGCUUAUUGAAAGGACAGCGAAGUUACGGAGCUCCCUAAAAUGAGAGAAGUGAGAAGGGCCUCCAACUGCAGCAUCCUAAGUCGUCAGCGCUGGCCUGGGAGCUGGGUUCUAGGGCCCUUUCAUUAUAACUUCCGUUGCCAUUUUCACUAAUCGCUUAAACCUGCUGUUUGGAUGCCUCCAUCU
ensembl:lncRNA